AAGGCCUCAACAACCCCCUCCGCAUCAAGUCACGCUCGCGUAACUCUGGAUUCAGCCAAGAACGCAACCAAAGGAAUUCUAGCACAACCAUCAUCUCCUUUCCUGCGUUUGCCGAUGGAGACUAAGCUCGCGAUUCAUCAGUAUCCCUAAACAGUCGACCUUAAAGCAGACACGUAUCAAUGGCGGCGGGUUGAUCGUCGGUAGGCUGAUGAGUGCGAGUCGGUUCUACUACACAAAGAUCUGGAAGACCAGCUCAAAGCGCUACACACGUUGGCUUCCACCUGCAAGGAAUCCUGGAGGGACACCUACUAGGUGUUAUCGUCAUUCGCAGUCAGUCCCAUAUCCAGUUUUGGCAUGAGCCUCACUGAAGAGGGCAAGACCCAGAGACCAUAUUCCAGAUCCGUCGCUUGAAAACUUCCAGCUGUAGGUUCUUCUUGGAAACAACCUUCAACUUGUUUUGAUGCGUUAGAAACCGAUCUUCAAGCUCGAGUUUAUCAAAUGGCUUGCGAUCCUCGAACAGCUACAGUCGCUGGAGAUCUGUUCUCCCUAGAGCCCUACCAAACAUGGAAUGGGAUCCAUUGCACUAGAAUCAUCUGAGGCUGCCAAUUUGCUAUUGUCAUCACCAGCGACAAGACGCCAUUUUGUCUCUCCCACGGAUUCAAAAGCUUGCCCUCAGUGCAGAGACACGACGAUACCUAUAGUUAGUUGAGACGACUUUCAAGACUUUAUACAAGUUGUAUCUUAGAAGCUCGGGCUUACGUCUGCGAUACGUCGUCCUCUCCUUUUCUUGCCCGGCGCAAUUUUCUCGGUUGGGUCGUUAACCUCGAACCUGUCGACUGUUAUAGAGGAAGAGGGACAGAAGACGCACAAGAUCGAUUACAUUAACUGCUUGAUCCCUGAUUCAAGUGUACCAGAAAUAGUUGUAAGGUUCGACGUUGACAACAUAGAAAUCUCCCCGAAAUUCUCGCCAUAAAUAGGUAGUCCACCCAUCAUCUUACCCCUUUCCCUGUGCCUCAGUUGAUGCUCCAGACCUUCGUGUGACAAGUUCAAAAAUGUCCUUCUUCGGUUGACCCGGGCUCAUUCUCUAUAGUUCAAAGUACAUCAAUGGCUUACACAAGUGUGCGCGUGUUAGCGCAGCAACUGACACUCAAGGGGUUGAGUACAGGAAACGGAAGAGCGAAACAGCGGGAGCAGAGGAGACACUCGAAUAUAACUUCACCUUCAACUACUAGUUGAUUAGCUCGGUCCCCUAAAAUGUUACACCUAGUGUCAUCUUCCUAAUCUAUCUUUACCUAACAUUGUGACGAUACUACAACCCUGCUGUUGCUAUUCUCUUCAUGUGUCAGGGCAGAUAUUCCCUAAUUAGCCAGUCAUUGUAUGUUCACUCACUUAGUCUCCAUCCAUUCCCUGCCCUCUUUCAACUUUCCAUGUUAUCGCACGAUCCUCGGUAGUAAUUCUUCCUAUUUUAUUACAGGCAAGUUCUCGUAGCGACGAGUUGAUUGGGUUGGCGCUUGGUUGGGACAAACAAAGGACGACCCCCUGACUUGGCUUUCCGGCGCCACCAAGGGGUAGCACAUGGCUUUGUCAGCAACAUUCCAGUUGUCUUUUGUGCCAAAGCUGCUUGGAGUUAUUAAAUGAUUGUGCUGCGCUACUGGUGCUGGUGGUUGGACACUUGGUUCUUCUUGAUUAUGGGAAAAUAUUCGUGGUCGGAUUCUUGGUUGCUACGAAAAAGAAAUCAACGUUCCUUUUACCCAAAUCACCCUAAGAAUCAGUUUCAAUCGUGUAGCCAUUUCCAAACGUGCUUUGCCUGCCGUAAUUCCUUUCCAGCUUUUAUAUGCUAAAACCUAUGUUCUCUGUACAACUUCCGGCUGCCACAUGGGGCUCAAAAAGGGGGAGGGGUGGUUCUGUGGCUAAAUAUUCUAGCAGAUUGGAUGAACUUGAUGAAGUGAACUGGGUAGAAGUACCUGCAUGUGGUUGUAUCUCCUCCCUCCCCCCCUCCUACGAACG